rnacentral:rRNA from 1 species
UCAAGCGAACAAGUGCAUGUGGUGGAUGCCUUGGCGAUCACAGGCGAUGAAGGACGCGGUAGCCUGCGAAAAGCUACGGGGAGCUGGCAAACGAGCUUUGAUCCGUAGAUGUCCGAAUGGGGAAACCCGGCCCUUUUGGGUCAUCCUGGACUGAAUACAUAGGUCCAGUGAAGCGAACGCGGUGAACUGAAACAUCUAAGUAACCGCAGGAAAAGAAAUCAACCGAGAUUCCCAAAGUAGUGGCGAGCGAAAUGGGAUGAGCCUUGCACUCUUUAUUUGUAUUGUUAGCCGAACGCUCUGGAAAGUGCGGCCAUAGCAGGUGAUAGCCCUGUAGGCGAAAACAGUAUGAAAGAACUAGGUGUGCGACAAGUAGGGCGGGACACGUGAAAUCCUGUCUGAAGAUGGGGGGACCAUCCUCCAAGGCUAAAUACUCGUGAUCGACCGAUAGUGAACCAGUACCGUGAGGGAAAGGCGAAAAGAACCCCGGGAGGGGAGUGAAAUAGAUCCUGAAACCGCAUGCAUACAAACAGUCGGAGCCUCGCAAGGGGUGACGGCGUACCUUUUGUAUAAUGGGUCAGCGACUUACGUUCAGUAGCAAGCUUAACCGUAUAGGGCAGGCGUAGCGAAAGCGAGUCCGAAUAGGGCGUUCAGUUGCUGGGCGUAGACCCGAAACCAGGUGAUCUAUCCAUGGCCAGGAUGAAGGUGCGGUAACACGUACGGGAGGUCCGAACGCACGAACGUUGAAAAGUUAGGGGAUGAGCUGUGGAUAGGGGUGAAAGGCUAAACAAACCUGGAAAUAGCUGGUUCUCUCCGAAAACUAUUUAGGUAGUGCCUCGUGUCUCACCUUCGGGGGUAGAGCACUGUCAUGGUUGGGGGGUCUAUUGCAGAUUACCCCGCCAUAGCAAACUCCGAAUACCGAAGAGUGCAAUCACGGGAGACAGACAUCGGGUGCUAACGUCCGGUGUCAAGAGGGAAACAACCCAGACCGCCAGCUAAGGUCCCCAAAUAUAGCUAAGUGGGAAACGAAGUGGGAAGGCUAAAACAGUCAGGAGGUUGGCUUAGAAGCAGCCACCCUUUAAAGAAAGCGUAAUAGCUCACUGAUCGAGUCGUCCUGCGCGGAAGAUGUAACGGGGCUAAGCUAUAUACCGAAGCUGCGGAUGCGAGCUUGCUCGCAUGGUAGGAGAGCGUUCCGUAAGCCUGCGAAGGUGCCUUGUAAAGGGUGCUGGAGGUAUCGGAAGUGCGAAUGCUGACAUGAGUAGCGAUAAAGGGGGUGAAAGGCCCCCUCGCCGUAAGCCCAAGGUUUCCUACGCAACGUUCAUCGGCGUAGGGUGAGUCGGCCCCUAAGGCGAGGCAGAAAUGCGUAGCUGAUGGGAAGCAGGUCAAUAUUCCUGCACCAUUGUUAGAUGCGAUGGGGGGACGGAUCGCGGAAGGUUGUCCGGGUGUUGGAAGUCCCGGUCGCUGCAUUGGAGAAGGCGCUUAGGCAAAUCCGGGCGCGCAAUUCAAGGGUGUGGCGCGAGCUCCUUAGGGAGCGAAGCAAUUGGAAGUGGUUCCAAGAAAAGCCUCUAAGCUUCAGUCUAACGAUGACCGUACCGCAAACCGACACAGGUGGGCGAGAUGAGUAUUCUAAGGCGCUUGAGAGAACUCGGGAGAAGGAACUCGGCAAAUUGGUACCGUAACUUCGGGAUAAGGUACGCCCUUGUAGCUUGACUGGCCUGCGCCAGGAGGGUGAAGGGGUUGCAAUAAACUGGUGGCUGCGACUGUUUAAUAAAAACACAGCACUCUGCAAACACGAAAGUGGACGUAUAGGGUGUGACGCCUGCCCGGUGCCGGAAGAUUAAAUGAUGGGGUGCAAGCUCUUGAUUGAAGUCCCGGUAAACGGCGGCCGUAACUAUAACGGUCCUAAGGUAGCGAAAUUCCUUGUCGGGUAAGUUCCGACCUGCACGAAUGGCGUAACGAUGGCCACACUGUCUCCUCCCGAGACUCAGCGAAGUUGAAGUGUUUGUGAUGAUGCAAUCUACCCGCGGCUAGACGGAAAGACCCCAUGAACCUUUACUGUAGCUUUGCAUUGGACUUUGAACCGAUCUGUGUAGGAUAGGUGGGAGGCUAUGAAACCGGAACGCUAGUUUCGGUGGAGCCGUCCUUGAAAUACCACCCUGGUUUGUUUGAGGUUCUAACCUUGGCCCGUGAUCCGGGUCGGGGACAGUGCAUGGUAGGCAGUUUGACUGGGGCGGUCUCCUCCCAAAGCGUAACGGAGGAGUACGAAGGUACGCUAGGUACGGUCGGAAAUCGUGCUGAUAGUGCAAUGGCAUAAGCGUGCUUAACUGCGAGACCGACAAGUCGAGCAGGUGCGAAAGCAGGUCAUAGUGAUCCGGUGGUUCUGUAUGGAAGGGCCAUCGCUCAACGGAUAAAAGGUACUCUGGGGAUAACAGGCUGAUACCGCCCAAGAGUUCAUAUCGACGGCGGUGUUUGGCACCUCGAUGUCGGCUCAUCUCAUCCUGGGGCUGUAGCCGGUCCCAAGGGUAUGGCUGUUCGCCAUUUAAAGAGGUACGUGAGCUGGGUUUAAAACGUCGUGAGACAGUUUGGUCCCUAUCUGCCGUGGGCGUUGGAUAUUUGAAGGGGGCUGCUCCUAGUACGAGAGGACCGGAGUGGACGAACCUCUGGUGUACCGGUUGUCACGCCAGUGGCAUCGCCGGGUAGCUAUGUUCGGAAGAGAUAACCGCUGAAAGCAUCUAAGCGGGAAACUCGCCUUAAGAUGAGAUAUCCCUGGAGGCUAGACCUCCUUGAAGGGUCGUUCGAGACCAGGACGUUGAUAGGUCAGGUGUGUAAGCGCAGUAAUGCGUUCAGCUAACUGAUACUAAUUGCCCGUAAGGCUUGAUCC